rnacentral:rRNA from 1 species
UGGUGUGAUCGGCUGAGCUCUAGAGAUAGAGCCUUCCCCUUCGGGGGACAAAGUGACAGGUGGUGCAUGGUUGUCGUCAGCUCGUGUCGUGAGAUGUUGGGUUAAGUCCCGCAACGAGCGCAACCCUUAAGCUUAGUUGCCAUCAUUAAGUUGGGCACUCUAGGUUGACUGCCGGUGACAAACCGGAGGAAGGUGGGGAUGACGUCAAAUCAUCAUGCCCCUUAUGAUUUGGGCUACACACGUGCUACAAUGGACAAUACAAAGGGCAGCUAAACCGCGAGGUCAUGCAAAUCCCAUAAAGUUGUUCUCAGUUCGGAUUGUAGUCUGCAACUCGACUACAUGAAGCUGGAAUCGCUAGUAAUCGUAGAUCAGCAUGCUACGGUGAAUACGUUCCCGGGUCUUGUACACACCGA